rnacentral:rRNA from 1 species
GAUCCUGGCUCAGGACGAACGCUGGCGGCGUGCCUAAUACAUGCAAGUAGAACGCUGAAGGGGGAGCUUGCUUCUCUGGAUGAGUUGCGAACGGGUGAGUAACGCGUAGGUAACCUGCCUGGUAGCGGGGGAUAACUAUUGGAAACGAUAGCUAAUACCGCAUAAUAGUAGAUGUUGCAUGACAUUUGCUUAAAAGGUGCAAUUGCAUCACUACCAGAUGGACCUGCGUUGUA